UAACACUGAAUGGAGGACCGAACCGACUUACGUUGAAAAGUGAGCGGAUGAACUGAGGGUAGCGGAGAAAUUCCAAUCGAACCUGGAGAUAGCUGGUUCUCUCCGAAAUAGCUUUAGGGCUAGCCUCAAGUGAUGAUUAUUGGAGGUAGAGCACUGUUUGGACGAGGGGCCCCUCUCGGGUUACCGAAUUCAGACAAACUCCGAAUGCCAAUUAAUUUAACUUGGGAGUCAGAACAUGGGUGAUAAGGUCCGUGUUCGAAAGGGAAACAGCCCAGACCACCAGCUAAGGUCCCAAAAUAUAUGUUAAGUGGAAAAGGAUGUGGCGUUGCCCAGACAACUAGGAUGUUGGCUUAGAAGCAGCCAUCAUUUAAAGAGUGCGUAAUAGCUCACUAGUCGAGUGACACUGCGCCGAAAAUGUACCGGGGCUAAACAUAUUACCGAAGCUGUGGAUUGUCCUUUGGACAAUGGUAGGAGAGCGUUCUAAGGGCGUUGAAGCAUGAUCGUAAGGACAUGUGGAGCGCUUAGAAGUGAGAAUGCCGGUGUGAGUAGCGAAAGACGGGUGAGAAUCCCGUCCACCGAUUGACUAAGGUUUCCAGAGGAAGGCUCGUCCGCUCUGGGUUAGUCGGGUCCUAAGCUGAGGCCGACAGGCGUAGGCGAUGGAUAACAGGUUGAUAUUCCUGUACCACCUAUAAUCGUUUUA
rnacentral:rRNA from 1 species